rnacentral:rRNA from 1 species
GACGAGGGAUCCUAGCGUUGUUCGGAAUCAUUGGGCGUAAAGCGGGUGUAGGUGGCUUUGUAAGUCAGGUGUGAAAUCCCAGGGCUCAACCCUGGACGUGCACUUGAUACUGCUAAGCUUGAGUGUGGGAGAGGUUACUAGAAUUCCAGGUGUAGUGGUGAAAUGCGUAGAGACCCGGAGGAACACCAGUGGCGAAGGCGGCUUCCUGGUCUGCGACUGACGCUGUGGCGCGAAAGCUAGGGGAGCAAACGGG